rnacentral:rRNA from 1 species
GACGUAGGGGGCCAGCGUUGUUCGGAAUUACUGGGUGUAAAGGGUUCGUAGGCGGUGUGGCAAGUCGGGAGUGAAAUCUCUGGGCUCAACCCAGAGUCUGCUUCCGAAACUGCUGCGCUUGAGUGUGGGAGAGGCGCGUGGAAUUGCAGGUGUAGCGGUGAAAUGCGUAGAUAUCUGCAGGAACACCCGUGGCGAAAGCGGCGCGCUGGACCACUACUGACGCUGAGGAACGAAAGCUAGGGGAGCAAACAGG